AUGGCGGGCAAGGCAGUUGGGCCCCAGUACUUCCAAGACACUUGCUCGGCGGUGAUCCCGACGGGUACCAAGUGCGAGGCGGCCAAGUGCAAGGCGGACUGUGCGCGCCAGUUCAAGGGCGGAGUUGGUGGUUGCGCCGCCCAUGGUUGCCGGUGCAUCUACACCUGCACCUUCCCAAGUAGUAUGUGA
rnacentral:rRNA from 1 species